rnacentral:rRNA from 2 species
AGUAACAAGGUAGCUGUAGGUGAACCUGCUGCUGGAUCAUUACACGUACCGUGAUGGU